rnacentral:rRNA from 1 species
GACGAACGCUGGCGGCGUGCUUAACACAUGCAAGUCGAACGGAAAGGCCCUGCUUUUGUGGGGUGCUCGAGUGGCGAACGGGUGAGUAACACGUGAGUAACCUGCCCUUGACUUUGGGAUAACUUCAGGAAACUGGGGCUAAUACCGGAUAGGAGCUCCUGCUGCAUGGUGGGGGUUGGAAAGUUUCGGCGGUUGGGGAUGGACUCGCGGCUUAUCAGCUUGUUGGUGGGGUAGUGGCUUACCAAGGCUUUGACGGGUAGCCGGCCUGAGAGGGUGACCGGCCACAUUGGGACGGAGAUACGGCCCAGACUCCUACGGGAGGCAGCAGUGGGGAAUAUUGCACAAUGGGCGGAAGCCUGAUGCAGCAACGCCGCGUGCGGGAUGACGGCCUUCGGGUUGUAAACCGCUUUCGCUUGUGACGAAGCGUGAGUGACGGUAAUGGGUAAAGAAGCACCGGCUAACUACGUG